rnacentral:tRNA from 1 species
GGGGACGUGGCGGAACGGUAGACGCGCCGGACUUAAAAUCCGUUGGAGUAAUCCGUGUGGGUUCGAGUCCCACCGUCCCUACCA